CCAAGGAGUCUAACAUGUAUGCGAGUUGUAGGGUGUAAAACCUGAAGGCGCAAUGAAAGUAAAGUUUAACGAUACAGGAUUCGGGCAACCGAAGCACUGUAGCCCCGUUCUAUUUGCAUGUCAAAGGAGCGGCGGAAGAGCAUACACGUUGGGACCCGAAAGAUGGUGAACUAUGCCUGAGCAGGGCGAAGCCAGAGGAAACUCUGGUGGAGGCUCGAAACGGUUCUGACGUGCAAAUCGAUCGUCAGACUUGGGUAUAGGGGCGAAAGACUAAUCGAACCAUC
rnacentral:rRNA from 1 species